CUAGCAUGAAAAAGUCAGCUACCCUAGCAUGAAAAAGUCUGCUUCCCUAGCACGCAUUCUAGGUUUUCUUUUUAGUGUCGUUUGUUUUUGUUGGUGGAUCACCUUUAAACAAUUUUAUUCAUAGCAAAGUACGGGGACAAUCAAGAUCGGGCCUCAGUCCUGUAAAAAUAGAGAUGGAAUUAGCCAGAUUAAUGUUAGACGAAGAAGAAGAAGCAGUUCUACAAGUACAACCAGAGCAGAGCACGCAGAUUGAAGGGGGUUUUUCAGGUUAGUAGGUUAUUUCUUAGCAGCAAGUAUUAUCCAUUUUUCGGCUAUGAAGAGUACUAUGGCAAACUUAUAGCACUCGGUUCGGGGUGUCUAGAUUCGAGAUCUGGGAGAUAGAAGAUUCUUGUUCUAAUUUUUUCAUGACAUGGAUUUGGAGAGAGUUUUAAAUGGAUCACCAUGGACAUUUAAUAAUAAUUUACUAGUGCUACACAAAUUACAAUAGGGGAGGAUCCAUUAAGAGUUCCUUUAAUCAUGUUGCCUUUUUGGGUUUCAGAUCUAUGACAUCCUAAUUGGUUUUUACUCGGAGAAUUUGGCAAUACAAUUGGGAAAUUUUAUAGGGAAAUUUAUAAGAGUAUGAUGGAUCGAAUUUGGGUAAGGAAAAUAAGAACUACAUGAGAAUACAAGUACAGAUUGAUGCGAGGCAGCCUCUGAAAAGGAAGAAACAUAUAUAGUUUAGUGGUAACUGUACAUACGUGAGCUUCAGGUAUGAACGGCUGUCACUCUUUUGCUUUUUCUAUGGUCGUAAAAAUGGAGCUAGGUAUAGAAGUUACUAAAAUAGGAUGGAAUUUAUCGUUAAGAGCUCAAUCUAGAAGGGCUUUAACAAUGAAAAGUAUCUGGCUGCGAGAAUACGGUGAAGAUAAUUUUGGAGGUAAUAGAAAGGAAAGAUACACUCAAGGGAAUAAUAUGUGGGCCGCUGAACAUAAGUUAGGAAGAUCGACUUUUGUAAGGCAAGCGGGAGUUAAAUUGUCAACUAAUCCGGCUCUUGCUGAUAUGAAGCAUGAUCAGGAAAAUGGAAUUUUAAUUGGGGAGGAAGGAAAGAAGAGAGCUAGAGGGGAGAAUGAGGAAGAUAUCAAUAAUACAAUGGAAAGAAAUAGAAAAGUCUUGGAAGUAUUAUUUUUCAUCGGCGGCUGCUAAGAGGCAUGCCGAUCGAGCGCAAUGAAAAUCUUAAGUUUGAAUGUUUGUGGAUUGGGGAGUUCACGGACGAUCCGAAAACUUCGACACUUGCUGAAGACACAUAAUCCCCAAGUGGUUUUCUUUAUGGAAACUAAAGUGUGUAAAAGUCAGAUGGAAAAAGUUCGUUAUAGAUGUGGUUAUGUGAAUGGGUUUGAAGUUGAUCCGAUUGGUACUAGAGAAGGUCUAUGUUUAGCAUGGAGGAAUGAAAUCUGCAUUGAGCUGGGGAGUUUUUCUAAAAGACACAUUGAUGUGAUGGUUGAGGAUAAUGAGGUAAAAGAAAAAUAGACUCACUUGUUUCUAUGGAUCUCCCCAUGCUCAGGAAAGAAAUGAGUCUUGGAAUGUGUUGAGGAAUUUACAUAACGAUGAGGAGGCUUUGGUUCGUUUGUGAAGACUUUAAUGAGAUAAUGUAUGGUUUUGAAAAAAAAAGGAGGGUUACCCUGUGAUGAACAAAAAAUAGAGAAUUUCUGUAAUGUUUUAGCAGAUUGUCAACUAUUGGAUGUGGGGUUUUCUGGAAAUUAGUUUACAUGGGAGAGAGGAAACCUUUCCGAGACAAACAUUCGUGAACGAUUGGAUUGCGAAGUUUCUAAUGACGAAUGGAUGACUUUGUUUCCAGAGGUAACUAUUCAACAUAUGUCUCAUUCUUUCUUAGAUUAUUAUCCUCUUUUUAUUACUACUAAACGGGCUGAAAAUUGGGUGACUACUAAAGCUUUCAAGUUUGAAGCUUGGUGGAUAAUGGAAGAGUUGUUUAAUGAAAAAGUCAAAAAUAUAUAAGAGUCAUCAUCUAGCAACUUGUUGCAAAAGUUAGAUAUUUUAAAAGGGGGAUUGAGACGAUAGGCAGGACAAAUUCGAAUCUAUAGAAAAAUGAGAAAGGAUCUGCUCACAGCUAGAUUAUCAGAACUUGCAGGGGCAGACAGAGAUGAUAUCAACAUGGCAUAACUGAUUGAUGCAAAAAUUCAAUUGAACUUUGAGACUAAAAAAGAUGAACGUUACUAGGAACAGAGAGCUCGGAUAAAUUAGCUUCAAUUUGGGAUAGGAAUACUGCAUUUUUUCAUAGCCAAUUAAUGUAGCGUAGAAGGAGAAAUGUCAUCUACAAAUUGAACAAUAAAGAAAGGGGAUAAACAGAGAUUGUAAAAGAAAUGGAAGGCAUUACUCGAUCUUAUUUCCAGAAUUUAUUUACAACAAAGAGGCGAGGAAAUUGACCAUUUGUUAUUGGGUAUUGAAAAUUGCAUACAUGAGGAGGAUAAUCAAAAUCUUAUAAAGCCUUAUACGACAGAAGAGAUUAGAGAGGCACUGUUUACGAUGAGACCCACUAAAGCACCAGGUGAGAUGGCUUUCCAGCUCUAUUUUACCAAAAAUUCUGGCACAUCUUUGAGGACGACGUCACCAAAUUCUGCUUACAAAUUCUUAACGAAGGUAUGGGCUUUCAACAAAUUAAUGUUACUCACAUAAUAUUCAUCCCUAAAAUUGAUAACCUGUCUACUCUGAUGAACUUCUGACCUAUCAGUUUAUGUAAUAUGCUUUAUAAAAUUAUAGCAAAAGCUAUUGCAAAUCGUUUCAGAGGAACUGUAUUGACCAAGCUCAAAGUGGGCAUACCAGGUAAAUUGAUUUCAAAUAAUGUUCUAUUGGCAUGUGAAAUCCUUCAUACUCUUCAACAAAAGAGGGUUGGAAAAAAAGUUUUUAUGGCAGUCAAGUUGGACAUGAGUAAAGUAUAUGAUAGGGUUGAGUGGAAUUUUAUCAAAGAAAUUAUGGUACGAAUGGGGUUCAAUAUGAACUGGAUCGAAACUUUGAUGAAAUGUUUGACAACCGUCUCCUAUUCAGUAGUUGUAAACGGAUACAUAAGAGAAAGCUUCCAACUAACAAAAGAACUUCGUCAAAGUGACCCGCUUAGCCCUUUUUUAUUUCUCAUUUGCGGAGAGGGUUUAUCAUGUUUAAUAUGAUUAUCAAGUAAAGAAGGCCUAUUGAAAGGGCCAAAGCUUGUAAGAGUGGACCACAGGUAUCGUAUUUGUUAUUUGCCGACAAUUGCAUUCUAUUUGGUCAGGCUAUAAGAAAGGAAGCUAAUUUAUUAAAGGAAAUUUUAAGGGAAUAUAGGAGUUGCUUGGGCUAAGUGUUAACUUUAAUAAGGCCACUGUCUUUUUUAGUAGAAAUACCAAUGAAGAGGAUAGGCGGGAUGUGAUAAAUAUUUUAAGGGUGUGAAGUUCAAGCAAUCCAGAGAGGUAUUUAGGGCUACCCAAUAUAGUUGGAAAAAAGAAAAAGGAAUCAUUUCAGGAUCUAAAAGAUCGAAUUAAGAAACCUAUUGACAAUUGGAGCAUUAGAUUUUUGUCUCAGGGCGAAAAGGAAGUAUUUAUCAAAUCUGUCCUUCAAUUUAUCCUAACUUAUACUAUGUCCUGUUUCUUAUUACCCAAAUCUUUAUGUUCAGAAUUGGAAAGCAUUAUUACUCAAUUUUGGUAGCAAAAGGGUGUGGUAGACGGGGAAUACAUUGGUGUGCAUGGAAAAACCCUUGUAUUUUAAAAGAAAACGAGGGUCUUGGUUUCAAAAUAUGAGUCAGUUCAAUAUCACAUUAUUAGCCAAGCAAGGGUGGCACCUUAUUAAUUAUCCGAAUUCAUUAGUAGUUAGAGUACUCAAGGCUAAAUACUAUCCGUAUGUAGAUUUUAAUAACGCUCAGUUAGGGAUCUACCUUUUCUUACCUGGAAGAACGUGUGGGUUGCUAAUUGAUUGUUAAAGAAUGGACUGCGUUGGAAGGUUGGAAAGGGUGAUGGGAUCUCGAUCUAGGAGGACCGCUGGAUUCUAGAAAAGGAACCUGAUAAGUGGAACAAUAGAAACUUCUGCGAAGGGCCUCAGUUAGUCUCAGAAUUAAUUGACCCAAAUACCAGAACAUGGAAGACAAAUAUUGUUAGUAGUACCUUCAUGAGAUUGCUCAACAAAUUAUGCAGAUUCCUCUUACGGAAAGUCCUUAUAACAACCUUCAAGUGUGGAAAGGAGAAUCAUCUGGAGAAUUUACUGUUAGAAGCGCCUACAAACUAUUACAAGAAACUAGUUUGGAUCCUAGUUAUUAUUUUAUAUAGGCUGACUCAAAGAAACUCUACAAAAAACUUUGGAAUCUAGGACUACCCUCAAAAAUACUGAUUACAAUAUGGAGAAUAACAUGGAACUAUAUUCCAACUUUUGCAAAUCUAAAAUACAAGCGAGUGAUUAAUAGUGCUUUAUGUCCUCGAUGUGGGAACGGAGAAGAAGACAGUGUGCAUGUUUUCUAGCAAUGCCCUGUAACAACAGAGAUUUGGCAGAAGUUAGAGGUCUCAUGGGUUAUUACCAGAACGGUUUAAAAUAUCUGGGAAUGGAUUACCUAGAUAUUUCAGAAUAGUUCUUAUCAACAGUGUCGCUUGCUCUGUUGCGGUUUGGGGAUCAUAUGGAGCUCAAGAAAUAAACUCGUGCAUGAAAGGAAGAUAGAGUCAGAAGGAGAAAUUUCACAGAAUAUCGGAAGAUAUAUGGCUGAAAUUGAGGGAUUAGAAGAAAAGAAGUUUACCUCUUCCAUGGGUAUCAGGAGCAACCUUCUAGAUGCAAACACCAAGGCAACGAUUCAGUUUGACACAACAUUUGACGACAGAAGUCACAAAUCAGCAUCGGGCUUAGUGGUUUGGAGCUGGACGGGAGAACUCCUUGCAUUAAAGACAGUGGUAAACGUAAACGUUCGGUCUCCAUUUGCAGCAGAGGCUUACGCAGGCUUGCAAGCUGUUCAGUUAGGGAUCUCGAUGGCCCUUCCUUCAAUAACGGUUAUGGGAGACUCUCGAACAGUUAUCAAAAAAUGCCAGUCAAAGAACUUGGACAAAUCAACCAUCGGUGCAAUAAUUAGAGAUAUUCAAAGUAGUAUGACUCGUUUUCAAGAAAUAAAAUUCCAGUUCAUCAAAAGAAUGAGGAACGUACCAGAGAAGGGCGGAUCUAACUUAGCACCAUUCGCACCAGGAGGGAAGAUGGAGAAGCAGCGCAGAUUGAGAUUUGCUUGUGGUAAAUGAAAUGUAACAGAUAGCUUAAUAUGGAAUAUGGAGCGACUAUCGACAACACAGAGGAGACGAAGAUGUGAAAGGACGAUAGGGAAAAGGAGUCUAGCUGUGUCUUUGGAAUCGGCUAGUUUCAUUACAAAAAGUUUCCUUUUAUUGUUUUCAAUCAGAUGGCAGGCUUUUAUUAGGGUUAUUUUAUUUGUUUUAUUUUGAAACUAAUGACUAAAGCCGAAAGCUAGUCUAAUGCUUCAUACCCCUAAACCAAAAGAAUUAGGCCAUUUAUUGGAUAGUUAGUCUAGUGUGUCAUAGGCCUGAACCAAAAUAACUAGACUUUUUAUUUGAUUUUAUUCUUUUCAUUAUUAAUAAAUCUAGCCGAUUUUUUUUUUUUAAAAAUAGCAUACUUUCAAUAUUUUUUUUGACUGUUAUGUUAAAAGAAAUGAUAAAUUAUGUCAAUAAUCACUCAACUAUGUAUAAGUUAUUGUUUUGGUUACUUAACUGUAAAAAAUUAUAAUUUGGUCACUAACAAUUUUGAGAUUUUCUUUUUCACUCAACCAUAAAGGAACUAAGGCACUUUUUU
rnacentral:lncRNA from 1 species